AUUUGUCUGGUUAAUUCCGAUAACGAACGAGACCUUAACCUGCUAACUAGUUUUCAAUACACUGUAUUGAUACACUUCUUAGAGGGACUAUGUAAAUCAAUUACAUGGAAGUUUGAGGCAAUAACAGGUCAGUGAUGCCCUUAUAUGUCCUGGGCUGCACGCGUGCUACACUGAUGCAUACAACAAGUGCCUAGCCAGAUAUGGUAUGGCAAUCUCGAAUAUGCAUCGUGAUGGGGAUAGAUCUUUGCAAUUAUAGAUCUUGAACGAGGAAUUCCUAGUAAGUGCAAGUCAUCAUCUUGCAUUGAUUAUGUCCCUGCCCUUUGUACACACCGCCCGUCGCUCCUACCGAUACCGGGUGAUCCGGUGAACCUUUUGGACUCAUCUGAGAAAGAUAAGUAAACCAUAUCACCUAGAGGAAGGAGAAGUCGUAACAAGGUUUCCGUAGGUGAACCUGCRGAAGGAUCA
rnacentral:rRNA from 1 species